UACAGAGGUCUCAAGCGUUGUUCGGAAUCACUGGGCGUAAAGGGUGCGUAGGCCGCACGGUAAGUCAGAGGUGAAAUCCCGGAGCUCAACUUCGGAAUUGCCUCCGAUACUGCCGUGCUUGAGGACUGGAGAGGAGUCUGGAAUUCACAGUGGAGCAGUGAAAUGCGUAGAUAUUGUGAGGAAUACUAGUGGCGAAGGCGAGACUCUGGACAGUUCCUGACGCUGAGGCACGAAGGCCAGGGGAGCAAACGGG
rnacentral:rRNA from 1 species